AAUUCCUCCAGGUUCUGGAGGUUUUAUGUUUUUAACUUAAUUAGAAAGAGGUAAACUGAUAUGAAGCCAAGUUCAUCAGAUAAAAGGAAGGCGGACCUUUCAACCUGUGUCUGUUAUGAAUCAUCCUGGUUUGCAAAUGUUAGCAGAGUUAAGGUAGGAGUUUACAAUCUGAAGGGAAAACAUCUGCAGUAUCCAGAUGCAAAAGAUGGUAAAAUUUCAGCUCUAAAUUAUUCUACCUUUGUUUUAAAAUAGCAGUAAAAGCCUGGCUUCCUGGAUUCACUCUGUCUGAAUUAAAGAGUGACGACACUGCUGGUUAUGAUAUAGCUACUUCAUAACAACUUACUGCUGCAGGGCUAGAAAAUAAUAUUUUGAAUGCUUUUAUUUACAGAUCGUGUGAUAUCAAGAGUUUGCUAGAAUUGGUAUCAGAAGGACAGACUUUAAAAAAAAUCAAGAGAUUGAAAAUGGUUCAGAAAACUCACAUCAGUGCUUCUCCAUUCCAGUCAGUCGACUCAAACAAAAGGCACAAAGUAACCGAGUUUAAUCACAUUUUCCACAUCCAACUGCUACGCUUUCAUUCACACUGAAUCAUACAAAAAAGUAGCGUCUCUCAUGGGUCUCUCAUAGAGAUCUUGGAUAAGAAAUGAACCAGAGAGAAAAGAAAAAAAAGUGGGGCAAAAGGAGGGAUGAUAAGACAGAGAAAAGAACGAAAAAAGCUGCCACUGAAAUAGACAAACAUGACUGACUUUGGUAGUUUUCUUUCCGAGACGGAAUGGAUGACUAAUAUUUGAGAAAGGGGGACUCAAAACAUAACAAACCCGGGGAAGAAUUUGCCUGGAAAUGUUGAGAAAAAAAAUCAAAUAACAAAAACGUGAGUUUAAGUGACAAACAAACAAACAAAAAAAUUGAAUUGAUGUAAUUAAAUGCUGACUUCCUGGGAUAAAAGGUAGAAUCUGGUUCAAAGUCUCCCUGCUGUCUGAAUUUACCCCAGAAAACUGACGAUCCAGACGACACACAAACACACACACCCAUGAAAUCAGUGUUUUCUGCGAGCGGGGGUUGCCUGGGUGGGGCAGAAUCAUCCCCACCCGAUGUUCUGCUUCAUUACUGAGGCUGACUUCAUGGUGAAGAUGAAGUCACCACUGAUACAAAGGAGGCUGGAAAGGAAGAAGUUCUCCACGUACACGCGUCAGCGGGGCGUGACGGGAAUCUUCAAGCAGAUACCGACUGGAAGCGAGCCUCAACAGGACCGCAGGUCGAGGCCGCUUUUCCGUGAUGGCCUGACUGCUGGGUCAGCUGAGAGAGAGGGAGAAUCAAAGCUCUGGUGGCAAGAGUUUAGAUUUAUGGCCCACCCUCAGUGGAGAUUGGACCAAUCACACAUCCCAAGAAGAGUUGUACUUGACUCACCCUGUGGUUACAAAAAGUGACAAAAUGGAGCUGUAAUAUGUUAAACAAAAGCUAAAAAUGAGAGACGUCACACUGCUUAAAUAAAUGGUGGUCUACAAAUAAAAGCAGUAAAACCAA